rnacentral:lncRNA from 1 species
GAAAAGUGCUCAGGCAGCGGGAGCUACACGUGCAAAGGCCCUGGGGAAGGAGGGAAGAGGCGCAUGCCUGGCACUGAUGUCUGUGCGGCUGGAGGCAGACGGGCGCAGAAAGGGGUCUGAGACGUGGCUGGAGGCAGCAGGACCAGACAGGAUGGAGCCUCAGGGCUGUGGUUCUGAGCUUCAUUCCAACAGCAGGAAAAGGGAGGCAUGUUUGUAACCUGCAGGGAGGCGGGAGCCAUGGACAGGAUUGCAUCUGUGACUUGCCAGCAUCCCGCUGGCUCCCAUGGAAGCAGACUGCCCUCAGGCCCCAGCGGAGGGAGGGAGAGCAGACAGAACAAUUUCGGCCCCUGGACAUGGUGGCGGCAGGGGAGGUGGGCUGUGGCCUUCCAAGAAGAGGAGGAGACACCAGAGGCGGACGCAGCAAGGCCGGGAGAAAGGUUUCAUGAGAAACCAGCACUGACACUGAUGGCACCUUGAUCUUGGACUUCCAGGCUCCAGAGCUGUGAGAAAAUAAAGGUCUAUCAUCUAAGCUGCCCAGGCUGAGGUCUUCUGUUACGCUCUGGAGUCCACGCACCUCCAUCUUGUUCUCCUGGGAGGCUGACUUGGGCUCCAGCCACCAUGCUGAGUGAACCAUGACAGAGGUGGCCCUCCAGCCCCGACUCGGGCACCCCGGCUGAUGCCAUAUGGACAGAGAUGAGACAGUCCUGCUGAGCCCUGCCCAAAUUGCAGAUUUGGGAGCAAAAUACAUGGUCUCUG